rnacentral:rRNA from 1 species
ACGAACGCUGGCGGCGUGCUUAACCCCUGCAAGUCGAACGGUGAAGCGCCUUCCUUUUUGGUGGGUGUGGAUGAGUGGCGAACGGGUGAGUAACACGUGAGUAACCUGCCCCCUUCUUCUGGAUAACCGCAUGAAAGUGUGGCUAAUACGGGAUAUUCUGGGUCUGUCGCAUGAUGGGUCUGGGAAAGAUAUUGUUUCGGUGGGGGAUGGGCUCGCGGCCUAUCAGCUUGUUGGUGGGGUGAUGGCCUACCAAGGCGGUGACGGGUAGCCGGCCUGAGAGGGUGGACGGUCACACUGGGACUGAGACACGGCCCAGACUCCUACGGGAGGCAGCAGUGGGGAAUAUUGCACAAUGGGCGCAAGCCUGAUGCAGCGACGCCGCGUGAGGGAUGGAGGCCUUCGGGUUGUGAACCUCUUUCGCCAGUGAAGCAGGCCUGCCUCGUUUGUGGGUGGGUUGACGGUAGCUGGAUAAGAAGCGCCGGCUAACUACGUG